AUUGAACGCUGGCGGAAUGCUUUACACAUGCAAGUCGAACGGCAGCACGGGGGCAACCCUGGUGGCGAGUGGCGAACGGGUGAGUAAUACAUCGGAACGUGCCCAGUCGUGGGGGAUAACUACGCGAAAGCGUAGCUAAUACCGCAUACGAUCUACGGAUGAAAGCGGGGGAUCGCAAGACCUCGCGCGAUUGGAGCGGCCGAUGGCAGAUUAGGUAGUUGGUGGGGUAAAGGCUCACCAAGCCGACGAUCUGUAGCUGGUCUGAGAGGACGACCAGCCACACUGGGACUGAGACACGGCCCAGACUCCUACGGGAGGCAGCAGUGGGGAAUUUUGGACAAUGGGCGCAAGCCUGAUCCAGCCAUUCCGCGUGCAGGAUGAAGGCCCUCGGGUUGUAAACUGCUUUUGUACGGAACGAAACGCGCCGGGCUAAUACCCUGGCGUAAUGACGGUACCGUAAGAAUAAGCACCGGCUAACUACGUGCCAGCAGCCGCCGUAA
rnacentral:rRNA from 1 species